rnacentral:rRNA from 1 species
GCGGCGUGCUUAACACAUGCAAGUCGAACGGUGAAGAGGAGCUUGCUCCUUGGAUCAGUGGCGAACGGGUGAGUAACACGUGAGUAACCUGCCCUUGACUCUGGGAUAAGCACUGGAAACGGUGUCUAAUACCGGAUACGAGCUUCAGCCGCAUGGCUAGGAGUUGGAAAGAAUUUCGGUCAAGGAUGGACUCGCGGCCUAUCAGCUAGUUGGUGAGGUAAUGGCUCACCAAGGCGACGACGGGUAGCCGGCCUGAGAGGGUGACCGGCCACACUGGGACUGAGACACGGCCCAGACUCCUACGGGAGGCAGCAGUGGGGAAUAUUGCACAAUGGGCGCAAGCCUGAUGCAGCAACGCCGCGUGAGGGACGACGGCCUUCGGGUUGUAAACCUCUUUUAGUAGGGAAGAAGCGAAAGUGACGGUACCUGCAGAAAAAGCACCGGCUAACUACGUGCCAGCAGCCGCGGUAAUACGUAGGGUGCAAGCGUUGUCCGGAAUUAUUGGGCGUAAAGAGCUCGUAGGCGGUUUGUCGCGUCUGCUGUGAAAACCCGAGGCUCAACCUCGGGCCUGCAGUGGGUACGGGCAGACUAGAGUGCGGUAGGGGAGAUUGGAAUUCCUGGUGUAGCGGUGGAAUGCGCAGAUAUCAGGAGGAACACCAAUGGCGAAGGCAGAUCUCUGGGCCGUAACUGACGCUGAGGAGCGAAAGCAUGGGGAGCGAACAGGAUUAGAUACCCUGGUAGUCCAUGCCGUAAACGUUGGGAACUAGAUGUGGGGACCAUUCCACGGUCUCCGUGUCGCAGCUAACGCAUUAAGUUCCCCGCCUGGGGAGUACGGCCGCAAGGCUAAAACUCAAAGGAAUUGACGGGGGCCCGCACAAGCGGCGGAGCAUGCGGAUUAAUUCGAUGCAACGCGAAGAACCUUACCAAGGCUUGACAUAUAGAGGAAACGGCUGGAAACAGUCGCCCCGCAAGGUCUCUAUACAGGUGGUGCAUGGUUGUCGUCAGCUCGUGUCGUGAGAUGUUGGGUUAAGUCCCGCAACGAGCGCAACCCUCGUCCUAUGUUGCCAGCACGUAAUGGUGGGAACUCAUGGGAUACUGCCGGGGUCAACUCGGAGGAAGGUGGGGAUGACGUCAAAUCAUCAUGCCCCUUAUGUCUUGGGCUUCACGCAUGCUACAAUGGCCGGUACAAAGGGCUGCAAUACCGCAAGGUGGAGCGAAUCCCAAAAAGCCGGUCUCAGUUCGGAUUGAGCUCUGCAACUCGACCUC